CCACCGAAUACAUUAGCAUGGGAUAAUGGAAUAGGACCCUGUCCUCCUAUUUUCAGUUGGUUUUGGCAGCGCGAGGACUAGGGUAAUGAUUAAUAGGGAUAGUUGGGGGCAUUAAUAUUUAAUUGUCAGAGGUGAAAUUCUUGGAUUUAUGAAAGAUUAACUUCUGCGAAAGCAUCUGCCAAGGAUGUUUUCAUUAAUCAAGAACGAAAGUUAGGGGAUCGAAGACGAUCAGAUACCGUCGUAGUCUUAACCAUAAACGAUGCCGACCAGCGAUUAGGAGACGUUGAAUACAAAACACCACCAUCGGCGCGGUCGUCCUUGGCCGCGGGUUCGUCCUUCACGGGGCGGGU
rnacentral:rRNA from 1 species